rnacentral:misc_RNA from 1 species
GAUGAAGAACGUAGUGAAAUGCGAUAAGUAAUGUGAAUUGCAGAAUUCAGUGAAUCAUCGAAUCUUUGAACGCACAUUGCGCCCCCUGGUAUUCCGGGGGGCAUGCCUGUCCGAGCGUCAUUACAACCCUCAAGCUCAGCUUGGUAUUGGGCCCCGCCGACCCGGCGGGCCCUAAAGUCAGUGGCGGUGCCGUCCGGCUCCGAGCGUAGUAAUUCUUCUCGCUCUGGAGGUCCGGUCGUGUGCUCGCCAGCAACCCCCAAUUUUUUUCAGGUUGACCUCGCAUCAGGUAGGGAUACCCGCUGAACUUAAGCAUAUCAAUAAGCGGAGGA